rnacentral:RNase_P_RNA from 2 species
AGAGUAGGCGCAGGUGGUUACAGACUAGUUUCGUUGAGACUGGUUUGAGGAAAGUCCGGGCUCCCGAAAGACCAGACUUGCUGGAUAACUCCCAGUGCGAGCGAUCGCGAGGAUAGUGCCACAGAAACAUACCGCCAGAAUCAAUUCAAAAUUCAAAAUUCAAAGUUCAAAAUGAAUAAUGUUUUUGAAUUGAUUCUGGUAAGGGUGCAAAGGUGCGGUAAGAGCGCACCAGCAUGAUCGAGAGAUCAUGGCUCGGUAAACCCCGGUUGGGAGCAAGGCGAAGGAACUAUGGUUGGUCUUUUACCAGUUCCGCUCUCAUAAGAGCCGCUAGAGGCGUUUGGUAACAAACGUCCCAGAUAGAUAACCGCCCUCUUAAAUGUAGAAACGUAAUGUGUUACCUUUUUACAAAAGAGAACAGAACCCGGCUUACGUUCCGACUCUCUCC